rnacentral:rRNA from 1 species
UACGAAGGGGGCUAGCGUUGUUCGGAAUUACUGGGCGUAAAGCGUGCGCAGGCGGCUUUGCAAGACAGAUGUGAAAUCCCCGGGCUCAACCUGGGAACUGCAUUUGUGACUGCAAGGCUAGAGUACGGCAGAGGGGGAUGGAAUUCCGCGUGUAGCAGUGAAAUGCGUAGAUAUGCGGAGGAACACCAAUGGCGAAGGCAAUCCCCUGGGCCUGUACUGACGCUCAUGCACGAAAGCGUGGGGAGCAAACAGG